GACGAACGCUGGCGGCGUGCCUAAUACAUGCAAGUCGAGCGAGCGGCGGACGGGUGAGUAAUGUAUGGGGACUGCCCGAUAGAGGGGGAUAACUACUGGAAACGGUGGCUAAUACCGCAUACUAUCGGAUAACCCAUAUGGGAUUAGCUAGUAGGUGGGGUAAAGGCUCACCUAGGCGACGAUCUCUAGCUGGUCUGAGAGGAUGAGCAGACACACUGGUACUGAGAAACGGCCCAGACUCCUACGGAGGCAGAAGUGGGGAAUAUUGCACAAUGGGAGAAAGUCUGAUGCAGCCAUGCCGCGUGUAGGAAGAAGGCCUUAGGUUUGUAAAGUACUUUCAGCGGGGAGGCUUUACCCGCAGAAGAAGCACCGGCUAAUUCCGUGCCAGCAGCCGCGGUAAUAC
rnacentral:rRNA from 1 species